UGCGCGCUGCUCUCGUCUGCUCGUGCACAGAUCCUCUCUCAUGCCUCUCUCUCAUGUGUUCUCUAUCAUCCCCGACCUUCUCUAUCUCUUUGGGGAUAUCACACCUUUGCACUCUCUCUCUAGAGCUCUCACACCCUUGCACUCUCUCCCUUUGUGCAGGGCUCUCACACCUCUACAUUAUCUCUCUAGAGCUCUCACAUCCCUGCACUCUCUCUCUCUGUGCACUAAGGCUCUCAUACCUAUGUACUCUCUCUAGAGCUCUCACACCCUGUGCUCUCUCUCUCGCUGUGCACAAGGGCUCUCAGACCUCUGCACUCUCUCUUUAGAGCUCUCACACCCCUGCACUCUCUCUCUCUGCAAAUCCCUCUACUCCCAAUUUGGGAUGUGAUGGGUUACUGUAGAAGAUUUUUUAGAUCAAUUUUUCUUUUUUGGGGGUAAAUUAUCUGUAAAUGAUAGAUUUUUGGGGCUUUUGUUUAUUUUUUCACUUUUUUUUGUUUCUUAUCAGUUUUGGAUUCUCAGUUCAUCAGAGUGACUUGGAUGACGAAGACGACAAUGUGAAGCAGCUCGACCACUGCGCCAUCCUUUACUUGGCUCUUCAGGAACUGGAAAUCUUGCCAACCAAGUAAAUGUCUUGGCAUCACAAGCUUAAUAGAGGUGGGGCCAUGAAUUUAAAUCCAUUUUAGGGUAUCAUUAUGUUUCUUUUGUUGUGGUUUUUACUAUUUCAUUGGGUUGACUUGGGUUGUUAUUUGGUGUAAGCAAUAAAUGUGGUUUAGCUAUUUUGAUUGGCUUGGCGUCAUUUGCAUGAUUGUUUAGUGGAAUUGUCUCCUCUUUGGAUGUUGCCUUUCUUCAGAUUUUCUAUUUGUAGAUGAAAUCUUAGUUAUUUUUUUCAUUAUUUCCUUAUCGAAUUCAAUGAAGCCAUUUGGUCUUGCUUUUCAUGGUAGAAUUGGUGUAGUUCACAUAAAACAAGAGUAUGCAAAGUGAUUGGUUAAAUUCAUAUCUAAAACAGCUUCCAUUCAACUCUUUCAAGUCAUUUACUUCAUUGGAUAUAUAGAAGUUCUAUUGGGUACUUUUUUUCUUCUUUAUGUUUUCAUGUUGUUAUUUUUCUUAUUAAAUAUUGUUAAUUAUUAGUAUGAUGAAAGUUUUAACUGCUAUUUCAAGGAUAAACAAUCAGGGAGCCAAUUGACUGAGAGCCGAAUGGGCCUCCAUGACCUUUUUGUCUUCUCAAUGGGAAAACAUCCCCUGAAUUUCAUCUCCUAAAAAGCAUCAGCAAAGUUCACAAUCUCGUUAUUGUUAAUCGAUCAUUGUGGAAGAAGACUUGCUUAAUGAGGUGUGGUCUGCUUGAAAGAGUUAGAUUGCUUUGCUACUAUCUGUUGAAGAAUCAACUCUUAGGCUAGAUCCACUAGAAGGUACAUUGAUAAGUGCAGUACUGAAUUUUACCAUCUCCUUGUGAAGCCGAAAAUUUGUUGAAGAAAUUAUUAUGCGGUUCAUUUUUUUCUCCUAUAGUACUUGCCAAAACGGAUGGGGCAUUAGAAAGAUCAGUGCUAUUUAGUAUAUAUGAAAGAUCAUUUGCAUCUCGUUCGUAUACAGGAAAUGCUUGCAUGGAGGUCAUAAAUAUUGAGAUUGAAUACCAUAGUCAAGCUGUCAUGAAAGAUCUUAUCUUUUGAAAACUAUACUUAUAGGUAUGUCCAAUUACUUUUUUCACGCAGAGAUAUUAUCCCACGGAUGUUUACUAUGUAUUUGUUGUAUGAUUAUAGAGACAAAUGUAAGUAUCUGCAAACAUAUGUAUGUUUAUGCACACGUGAUCAGAAGCUUCUGGAGAUAAUAUAUGUGUGAUG